AGCAGCCACGGUAAUUCCAGCUCCAAUAGCGUAUAUUAAAGUUGCUGCAGUUAAAAAGCUCGUAGUUGAAUUUCGGGACCAUCAUGUCGGUCGUGCCUCGGUACGUACUGGCAUUGUUGGUUUCUUCCUUCUGACGAACCAUGAUGUCAUUUAUUUGGUGUCGUGGGAAAUCAGGACUGUUACUUUGAAAAAAUUAGAGUGUUUAAAGCAGGCUCACGCUUGAAUACAUUAGCAUGGAAUAAUGAAAUAGGAUGUUUGAUUCUAUUUUGUUGGUUUUUAGGAUCGACGUAAUGAUUAAUAGGGAUAGUUGGGGGCAUUAGUAUUCAAUUGUCAGAGGUGAAAUUCUUGGAUUUAUUGAAGACUAACUACUGCAAAAGCAUUUGCCAAGGAUGUUUUCAUUAAUCAAGAACGAAAGUUAGGGAUCGAAGACGAUCAGAUACCGUCGUAGUCUUAACCAUAAACUAUGCCGACUAGGAAUCAGAUGAUGUUAAUUUAAUGACUCA
rnacentral:rRNA from 1 species